CCUACGGGUGGCAGCAGUGGGGGAUAUUGCACAAUGGGGGGAACACUGAUGCAGCGACGCCGCGUGGGUGAAGAAGCGCCUCGGCGCGUAAAGCCCUGUCAGCAGGGAAGAAAAUGACGGUACCUGAAGAAGAAGCCCCGGCUAACUACGUGCCAGCAGCCGCGGUAAUACGUAGGGGGAAAGCGUUAUCCGGAUUUACUGGGUGGAAAGGGGGCGCAGACGGCGAUGCAAGACAGGAGUGAAAGCCCGGGGCCCAACCCCGGGACUGCUCUUGGAACUGCGUGGCUGGAGUGCAGGAGGGGCAGGCGGAAUUCCUGGUGUAGCGGUGAAAUGCGUAGAUAUCAGGAGGAACACCGGUGGCGAAGGCGGCCUGCUGGACUGCAACUGACGUUGAGGCCCGAAAGCGUGGGGAGCAAACAGGAUUAGAUACCCUUGUAGUC
rnacentral:rRNA from 1 species